UGGAGAGUUUGAUCCUGGCUCAGGACGAACGCUGGCGGCGUGCCUAAUACAUGCAAGUCGAGCGAACAGAGAAGGAGCUUGCUCCUUUGACGUUAGCGGCGGACGGGUGAGUAACACGUGGGCAACCUACCUUAUAGUUUGGGAUAACUCCGGGAAACCGGGGCUAAUACCGAAUAAUCUGUUUCACCUCAUGGUGAAACACUGAAAGACGGUUUCGGCUGUCGCUAUAGGAUGGGCCCGCGGCGCAUUAGCUAGUUGGUGAGGUAACGGCUCACCAAGGCGACGAUGCGUAGCCGACCUGAGAGGGUGAUCGGCCACACUGGGACUGAGACACGGCCCAGACUCCUACGGGAGGCAGCAGUAGGGAAUCUUCCACAAUGGGCGAAAGCCUGAUGGAGCAACGCCGCGUGAGUGAAGAAGGAUUUCGGUUCGUAAAACUCUGUUGUAAGGGAAGAACAAGUACAGUAGUAACUGGCUGUACCUUGACGGUACCUUAUUAGAAAGCCACGGCUAACUACGUGCCAGCAGCCGCGGUA
rnacentral:rRNA from 2 species